rnacentral:rRNA from 1 species
GACGAACGCUGGCGGCGUGCUUAACACAUGCAAGUCGAACGGAAAGGCCCUGCUUUUGUGGGGUGCUCGAGUGGCGAACGGGUGAGUAACACGUGAGUAACCUGCCCUUGACUUUGGGAUAACUUCAGGAAACUGGGGCUAAUACCGGAUAGGAGCUCCUGCUGCAUGGUGGGGGUUGGAACGUUUCGGCGGUUGGGGAUGGACUCGCGGCUUAUCAGCUUGUUGGUGGGGUAGUGGCUUACCAAGGCUUUGACGGGUAGCCGGCCUGAGAGGGUGACCAGCCACAUUGGGACUGAGGUACGGCCCAGACUGCUACGGGAGGCAGCAGUGGAGAAUAUUGCACAGUGGGCGGAAGCCUGAUGAAGCAACGCCGCGUGCGGAAUGACGGCCUUCGGGUUGUAAACCGCUUUCGCCUGUGACGAAGCGUGAGUGACGGUAAUGGGUAAAGAAGCACCGGCUAACUACGUG